rnacentral:lncRNA from 10 species
GACACAAUGAUGAGUUUCAUAGAAUUGUUUAUAGAAUGUCCUGCAAUGCUAACCAAUGGCUUCAAACUCAAGAGAAAUUCUAGGGAGAAAUAUUCAAAGUGGUAAGAUGGAUUGAACUGCCAACCAAAAUUGUCAAUCUUUAUUUCAGUCUUCACUAUUAAGCUAAAAAGGUAAUUUUUCUCUUGAAUGAUGUGAAGAAUUGAAUUUCUUUCAACUGUUCCAAAAAUCUAUUCCUGCCUGCCACCCUGUGGGGCAGGCAAGAUGAUAUUAUACAUCUCUUAUAAAACAAAGAUACAGACUCAGAAUGGCUAAUAGGAUAUUGCUGAGGCCUGCCAGGUAUCUUUUGGUGAAUAGAUACUCUUUAUCUUAAGGUAUCUUUUGGUGAAUAGAUACUCUUUAUCUUAAGAUUUGUUGUGGUUAUUCUUGGUCUGCUGCCCAUCUAUAAAAAAUUUAGAAUCCAUCGGUAAAGUUGCACAACAAAUUCUGUUAGGAUUUUGUUGGAAUUACACUGAACCUACAGAUCGGUUUGGGAAUAACUGACAUCUUUACAAUACUGAGUCUUCCCAUCCAAGGAAACAGUAUAUUAUAUUCCAUCUAAUUAUGUCAUUUGGAAUUGUCUUCCAAUAAAUUUUUAUGGCUUUUCUGCAUACAGAUCUUCCACAUUUGCUGUUUAUUCCUAUGUAACAUAUAGCUGUUGCCGUUACCAUUGCACACGGUAUAUUUUAAAAGCCUUUAGAACUUUACAUUGUUGGCAUGUAGAUAUUUGUUAAUUUUUAACAGCUUUGUUGAGGUAUCACAAUUUUUGUAUGUACAUCUUAUUAUCAGCUACCUUGUUAAAAUCUUUAUUACUUCUAGUAAAUUUUCUAUAAAUUUUUUGGGAUUUUCUAUGUAGAGAAUUGUAUCAUAUGAACUCCUCAGUUUAUUUCUUCCCAAUUCUUACAUCUUUAGAUUACCUUUUAUGGCUAGAAUCUCUAAUACAAUGUUGAACAGAAGCAGCAGUAAUGAACACCUUUGUCUUUUUC